CUUCCCCAUUGGAGGCUAUUGGAAGGGAGGGCAGAGCUCAUCCUGCCUGAGGACUCAUGGGAAUAAGCUGGGCACCAAACCUCCCGACCUGGGCACCGUGGGGCUUCCGGAAGGCACCGCUGAAAAACGGAAGUGGCCACACAUCGUGUUCUAUAACCACCUUCUUUUCCCACUUGGAGCCUCAAUUUCCCUGCCUGGAAACCAGAGAAGAUCUUCCUAACUACCCCUGGUGAGGGUGAAGAUCACCCUGAAAUGAGGCCUGGAAUUGCUGUACCCAUUUUAACACCAUGAAGAAAACCAGCUAGAGGAAAAAAAUCAACACACAGGAUCACACAACUGGGUGAAACACAGAGGAAAAGAGCUAGAGCCCUG